UUACGGUCAUAUCCCGUUGAAACACAGGUCCUCGUAUGAUCAUCGAUAUUAAGCAACAUUGAGCCCGGUCAGUACCUAGAUGUGUGACCGCUUAGGAGUACCUGGUGCUGUAAG